rnacentral:rRNA from 1 species
UACGGAGGGUGCAAGCGUUGUUCGGAAUCACUGGGCGUAAAGGGCGUGUAGGCGGUCUAUCAAGUCUGGUGUGAAAUCCCCUCGCUCAACGAGGGAACUGCGCCGGAAACUGACAGACUAGAGUACCGGAGAGGAAGGUGGAAUUCCCGGUGUAGCGGUGAAAUGCGUAGAUAUUAGGAAGAACACCGGUGGCGAAGGCGGCCCACUGGAUCGGUACUGACGCUGAGGUGCGAAAGCGUGGGGAGCAAACAGG